UCUUAAGUACAAUUGAAUACCAUACAGAAUAUGAUUAUUUUUCCUUGUAUUUAUGGAUAUCUUUCCAUUUUUGGAUCCUGCAGACUUCAGUAUUCAAUCUUCUCCUCUGUUUCACUCAUUCCUUUUUAUAUCUCAACCAUUCUCAUGACCUUAAAUAUUAUCUGAACACUUCUUCUGGACAGCAAGGAGUGGAGAGCAGAAGACCAGCAUUUUCACCAAGAACAACUGUGAAAACAUUCACAGUUAAAUAAAGU
rnacentral:lncRNA from 1 species